rnacentral:rRNA from 1 species
ACGGCUCAGUAACACGUGGAUAACCUGCCCUUGGGUCCGGCAUAACCCCGGGAAACUGGGGAUAAUUCCGGAUAACGCACAUAUGCUGGAAUGCUUUAUGCGUAAAAUGGAUUCGUCUGCCCAAGGAUGGGUCUGCGGCCUAUCAGGUAGUAGUGGGUGUAAUGUACCUACUAGCCUACAACGGGUACGGGUUGUGAGAGCAAGAGCCCGGAGAUGGAUUCUGAGACAUGAAUCCAGGCCCUACGGGGCGCAGCAGGCGCGAAAACUUUACAAUGCGGGAAACCGUGAUAAGGGGACACCGAGUGCCAGCAUCAUAUGCUGGCUGUCCAGGUGUGUAAAAUACACCUGUUAGCAAGGGCCGGGCAAGACCGGUGCCAGCCGCCGCGGUAACACCGGCGGCCCGAGUGGUGAUCGUGAUUAUUGGGUCUAAAGGGUCCGUAGCCGGUUUGGUCAGUCCUCCGGGAAAUCUGACGGCUUAACCGUUAGGCUUUCGGGGGAUACUGCCAGGCUUGGAACCGGGAGAGGUAAGAGGUACUACAGGGGUAGGAGUGAAAUCUUGUAAUCCCUGUGGGACCACCUGUGGCGAAGGCGUCUUACCAGAACGGGUUCGACGGUGAGGGACGAAAGCUGGGGGCACGAACCGGAUUAGAUACCCGGGUAGUCCCAGCCGUAAACGAUGCUCGCUAGGUGUCAGGCAUGGCGCGACCGUGUCUGGUGCCGCAGGGAAGCCGUGAAGCGAGCCACCUGGGAAGUACGGCCGCAAGGCUGAAACUUAGAGGAAUUGGCGGGGGAGCAC